rnacentral:tRNA from 1 species
UAUUCUGUGGCUUAGUUGGUCAAAGCGCCGGAAUGACGAAUAUGAAGUCGUGGGUUCAAAUCUCACCAGAAUCC